ensembl:lncRNA
GUUUAGUCCAGGUUUAGUCCUGGUUUAGUCCCGGUUUAGUCCUGGUUUAGCUCUGGUUUAGUCCUUCUUUAGUCCUGGUUUAGUCCUGGUUUAGUCCUGGUUUAGCUCUGGUUUAGUCCUUCUUUAGUCCUGGUUUAGUCCUGGUUUAGUCCUGGUUUAGUCCUGGUUUAGUCCUGGUUUAGUUCUGCUUUAGUCCUGGUUUAGUCCAGGUUUAGUCCUGGUUUAGUCCAGGUUUAGUCCUGGUUUAAUCCUGGUUUAGUCCAGGUUUAGUCCUGGUUCAGUCCUGGUUUAUUCCAGGUUUAGUCCUGGUUUAAUCCUGGUUUAGUCCAGGUUUAGUCCUGGUUCAGUCCUGGUUUAGUCCUGGUUUAGUCAUGGUUCAGUCCAGGUUUAGUCUUGGUUUAGUCCUGGUUUAGUCCUGGUUUAGUCCAGGUUUAGUCCUGGUUUAGUCCUGGUUUAGUCCUGG